rnacentral:lncRNA from 1 species
CGAUAAAUGCAACAGGAUUUAAAAAGAAAUAGCACUUACCUCAAAAACUUCAUUUUAACUAGAUAUAAACUGAAUUUGAAGUGUACAAGUAACGAAAUAAUCUUCCCUUUGAAAGUUUUCUAUCGUAUGACAUUGUGUUUUGCCUAAAUUGCCAUGACGUAAAUUCACCAAAUCAUUCAUGAAAUUUCCCGGAAUUGUGUAUGAAUCUUAAUUUUAUACAGUUAUACAUUUUUAAAUAAAAUUGAGAAUGGAAAUGGGAUAUGUGUCAAAGAGACCACAACAAGUAAAAACAACAGCAGAAGGUCACCAACAGGUCUUCAAUGUAGCGAGAAAUUCCCGCACCCGGAGGCGUCGUUCAGAGUGCCCCUAAACAAAUAUAUACUAGUGCAGUGAUAAUGAACGCCAUACUAAUUUCCAAAUUGUACACAAGAAACUAAAAUUAAAAUAAUACAAGACUAACAAAGGCCAGAGGCUCCUGACUUGGGACAGGCGCAAAAAUGCAGGCGUUUUUGCGCCUGUCCCAAGUCAGGAGCCUCUGGCUUUUGUUAGUCUUGUAUUAUUUUAAUUUUCUCAACCCACCCCCUAUACCUCUAGCCAAUAUAGAAAAGUAAACGCAUAACAAUACACACAUUAAAAUUCAGUUCAAGAGAAGUCUGAGUCUGAUGUCAGAAGAAAAACCAAAGAAAAUUAAAACAAUUGAAAGUCUUUCCACAACAAAGAAAUUUUGAUAAGAAGAUAGUUUCUUCAUACUGAUGCAAUUAAUAAUGGUUUAAUUAUAUUUUUGAGAGAUAUAAGGGAGAUAAUAUGCUACUUCCGGUGAAAUGAAUGUCACUUCCGGUCUCAUAUGAGAGCUUUUUUCACACUGAUUCCAAAAAUAUAUAGUUUCUAUAUACUAUUGUAUGUAGAAUGGGAGAUAAUUAGCCACUUCCGGUUUGUUGGAAGUCAUUUUUAGUCGUCAGUAAUCAGUUUAUGUAUCUAUAUGACGAAAUAUAUGGAUUCUGAGUACUUUUAUAUGUAAAAAUUGCAAAAAAAGCUACUUCCGGUUUUCCCAAGGUCACUUCCGGUAGUCAUUUUUCAAGGUCAUUUGUCAUUUAACCUUUUGUACAAGGUCAAAUGCCUUUAUAAUGAACUUAGUUGAAGUUAUAAUGAAAUAACGUCAUAUCAAGACAUUUCACCAACAUUGCACCAACUCCUAUAAGAUGCCAUUCAAUUGUAUAAGUCUAAAUGUAGCAUAUCUUCAUUACAAUAAAGCAGACAUUUUGCACUUGUUCUUUUAUAUGUAUCUUUCAAAGUGACAGAGAAAAUGCAAAAACAAGCAAAAGUCACAAAUGAGAACUUGACCUUGACCUUUGACCUUGACCUCAAUUUCUAAGUUAGUACCUAGGGGACUCAUAUAUAUAAAAACAUUCCGUACGGUUAAUGGUUUAUAAGUUAAAAAUACAUUCCGACAAAUUUAUUUUGUAAAGGUAGAUAACUCCUAUAAAAUUUCAUCAAAUUGCUUUGAUCCAAAUUAGCCAAAUAUUCCUAAGGAUGUAACGAACAAUUAAGAAAAAGAAUUUUGUAGAUAUCUUUUUUUGUUACGAAGGAGAUGCACACAAAUGAUAAACAGUGAAUAGGGAGAUAACUCUUACAAAGAAAAUUGUUCGUCUUAGCAGGGUGAGAUUUAAAGCCGUAUAAACUAUACGAUACAAUAUACAAAAUAUCUAAGCGACAUAUUGUGAAACAAAAAUUUUAGAAUGUGGCGGAAAAAAAAAAAAAUAAUAAUAAUCAGAACAAAUACAAUUAAAAACCAAUUGUUCAGAGAACAAUUGAAAGUCUUUCCACACCAAAGAAAUUUUGAUAAGAAGAUAGUUUCUUCAUACUGAUGAGAUAAAUAAUGGUUUAAUUAUGUUUUUGAGUGAUAAAAGGGAGAUAAUAUGCUACUUCCGGUGAAAUAAAUGUCACUUCCGGUCUCAUAUGAUAGCUUAUUUCACACUGAUUCCAAAAAUAUAUAGUUUCUAUAUACUAUUGUAUGUAGAAGGGGAAAUAAUUGGCCACUUCCGGUUUGUUGGAAGUCAUGUUUAGUCUCCAGUAAUCAGUUUAUGUAUCUAUAUGACAAAAUAUAUUGAUUCUGGGUACUUUGAGAUGAAAAAAUUGCAAAAAAGGCUACUUCCGGUUUUCUCAAGGUCACUUCCGGUAGUCAUUUUUCAAGGUCAUUUGUCACCUAAUCUUUUGUACAAGGUCAAAUGCCUUUAUAAUGAACUUAGUUGAAGUCAUAAUCAAAUAACCUCAUAUCAAGACAUUUGAGGGGCAACAACUCCUAUAAGAUGCCAUUAAAUUGUAUAAGACUAAAUGUAGCAUAUCUUCAUUACAAUAAAGCUUACAUUUUGCACUUGUUCUUUAGUAUGUAUCUUUCAAAGUGUCGGAGAAAAUGCAAAAAAGUAUGUAUCUUUCAAAGUGUCGGAGAAAAUGCAAAAACAAGCAAAAGUCACAAUUGAGAACUUGACCUUGACCUUUGACCUUGACCUCAUUUUCUAAGUUAGGACCUAGGGGACUCAAAUAAAAACAUUCCAGGGUUAUACGGUUAACUGUUUAUGAGUUAAAUGAACAUACCGACAAAUUUAUUUUGUUAAGGGAGAUAACUCCAUAAAAAUUUCAUCGAAUCGCUUCGAUCCAAAUAAGCCAAAAAUUACUGAGGAUGUAACGAACUAUUUGUAAAAAGAAUUUUGUCGAUAUCUUUUUUUGUUACGAAGGAGAUGCACACAGAUGAAAAACAGUGAAUAGGGAGAUAACUUUUACAAAGAAAAUGGUUCGGCUUAGCAGGGUGACAGUGUUCUCCCCAGGCCGUUUUAGCGUCGCGGUACCACGACGCUAUAUUUUUUCACCGUGAUGCUAUAAUAAUGCGGGCAACCGGUCGGGCGGGCGGCCGGGCAGCAACUAAAUAUUGUCCGUGCAUUUACUCAUGAACCGUUCAACCAAAGCUUUUCAAAUUUUAAUAUGUUGUUACAGACAACAAAAUGAAGGUCAAGUCCAAUAAUGAUGAUUUUGAC